AAGGAAUUAGUUAAAUUAUAACAUUAAAAUGUCAGUUUAAAAUAACCAUAAGGUAUUUCUUG
rnacentral:tRNA from 1 species